GGCCUGAAGGAAAAGCCCUGAGGACCUGGAAGAUGGAGGAGGCCGCAGCGGCCGAGGGGCGGGGACCCUCGCCUCCUCCUGCGGGGUCACCUUGGCCAGGGCCCCGCGGCCCUGGGCAGCGGGGAAGGCGGUAGGAAUGCCUCCCCGAAGGCCCCGAUUUCCCCUCCCAGCGCAGUUCCAGGAACGCGCAGGCGGAGGCCUUUUCUGAUUCUGACAGGUUCGAGGCCACCCUCUGCAUUUCCAGCUCUGCCUUGUCUUCAGCCUUAAUUCCCUCCCGGUAAAAUAGGCAGGAGGCCUGGCCCUAACCAAUCCGGGAUUCCGAUAGCUUGGUGACAGCUGCCGAGACAACCUGGGCCCCCCAGCCUGAGCGCCACCGGGUCACCGCACUUGUGGGCAGUUUAAACGGUAGUUCAUCUGGAGGUCACGGGGCCUGACAAGAAAUACCUGCUCAGAAAAUUAGAACUGCUAUGUAUCGAAGGGAGAAUCCGGUCGAAGGUCUAGCUCAGUGGCAGAAUGCUGGCCCAGCAUACUUGAGACAAAGUCUCUACAGCGUCUGUGCUUUCUGAGAACGUGCUGUACACAGCUGUACCAGACUGGCCUUGAACUUACGGAGAUCUGCCUUCCUCUGCCUCCUUAGUGCUGGGAUUAAAGAUGUGUGCUGGCUGGUGUCCAUUCUUUACACACAGCAGAUUCUGGUUCCCCACAGAGCAUACCAGGGUUUCACUGGCCCAUGCCCCACCCCUACUCCUGUUCCUAGUGUGUGUAUGUACAAGAAAAGUCUUCAGAUUGAAGCAAGGGACUCAGUCCUGCUGGGUUCAGUCUUGCUGGGAAUAUAUACUCCGACAAACGCAUGUUAGGGGAGAAAGGGCUGAUUUUAUUCCACAAUACUAAGUCAUAGCCAACCAGAAUGGAGGAGUUGAGGUGACGCUGCUAGCCACACUGCAGAGAGCAGAGAGAACUGGGAUUAACUCAUGUACGCUAGGUUCAGCUCAUCUGCUCUUCUUUUAUGGCCCAGUACCUGCCCAGGGGACAGUGCUGCCCACUUUUACACUGCGAGUUCUAGUUUGCUUUCUGUUACUAUAAUAAACAUCAUGACCAAAAACAGCUUGGAGAAGAAGGUUUUAUUGGGAUGGAGAGAUGGCUCAGAGGCUAAGAGCACUGGCUGUUCUUCCAAAGGUCCUGAGUUCAAUUCCCAGCAACUGCAUGGUGGCUUAUAACCAUCUAUAGGUGCCAUCUUCUGGCCUGCUGGCUUAC